CCUCCCAUUUUCUAUAGCUCCUUGGAGCACCCUUCUAAGGGAUGCUGCCCGAUUCACGAAACAUUGAAUAAAUCCAAUUAGAUCUUUUAAUUUCCUAGGUUGAAUUUUUAUUCUUUACCUGAUUUGGUGGCAGGGGUGGGACUGAAGAGAACUGGCAGAUUUGGGAACAAGAAACACAGGCGUGGCACCUGCAAA